UUGUUGUCCUCCUCCAGGGUCUUCUAGUGACUGUAUUUGGAAUCGUCCUACGUGCAGCAGGUGCUGCUGAUGUGAACAGAGGAAGGUGUAUGAGAGAGGACCAUGACAACUGUUUAGAGUGUCAGUACGGGUGGUAAGGGCAACAGUGUUUGAAUAAAAGUGCAUUCUGCAACACUGGGUGUGAUCAGACGGGAAUCUGUUAUCAAUGUGAGCCUGGUUGGUUGGGGAAAUACUGUAACACAAGUUGCCCUGAUCACUGUAGACCCAACAGAGGUGGACGAGUGAACUGUGAGCGGGACACUGGCAGGUGUCAGGAAGGAUGUGAAUACGGCUGGUGGGGGGCCACAUGUAAUCGACCUUGUAGUACACACUGUCAGAAAGGAGCAUGUCUCCAGAUCAAUGGUGAUUGUGUUGGUGAAUGUGAGGAUGGAUGGUGCGGGGUGCAUUGUACUACACGAUGUCCUCCAGGGUGUGUACACACGAAAGGCUCUUUUCUUGGGAAAUGUUUAGAUGGUUGUAGUGCUGGUCUGUGGGGAGAGAAAUGUGACAGGACGUGUAGUCAGGCUACCGCAAAGAGCUUCCAGAGUAAUGGGACCAGUACGGGCGAAUGUAAGGACGGAUGGCACGGAUCGCAAUGUGAUACAAUGUGCUCUGUAAGUUGUCUGCUGGGGACAUGUGCCAGGCGGUCAGGGAUUUGCAAACAUGGAUGCAAAGUAGGCAUCUAUGGUGACAAAUGUGAGCGUGAAUGUAGCUUCCAGUGUAAGGAUUCCAUGUGUGAUAAGAACGGAAGGUGUGUACAGGGUUGUAACGCGGGAUUUCGGGGCAGCUCUUGUCAUGUGACCUGUCCUGCCAACUGUCUGACAUGUGAACAAGACACAGAUGUCUGUACAAGCUGCAAGUUAGGAUGGACUGGAAGUCUGUGUCAGUCAACUCAACCUUAUACUUCAGGUGGCACAUACAUCCGUAUUGAUACUGUUUUUAUGGAAGCCUGUGUGAUGAUGAGUUUGAUCAGCGGGGUCGUACUAGGGAACAGAUUGUCUUAUCACUAGGUCCCACAUGGAAGGACUGUCUGGCAGUUGACAGUUCCAUCCGGUUGUCCACAUCCAUAGUAUCGAAGAGAGAAGAUAUUGCAGCAUUCUGUAUAGACUUUCAUAAC